CUCUAUGACCUCACAUUCAACCCAACAAGAAUUUGGGAUGGAACCUUGAGAAUGGUAGUCCCAAGUAACGGGUUAAACCUCGAGAGAGUAAUCACCCUACUUGAAUCUUAAGUUGCUUGGGCAAAUUAGCCUACCCAAUUAGUUUCGAGAGAGUCAACUGGUAUCUCUACCAAGAGGUGUGAGAGUGAAUGCUAAAGUGCAACGGUUAUCCAUAUUCCCCAUAAUUAUCAUCCUUGUGUUAAAAUUUUAUACUCGUCAAUUAGCCACCUAGGUGAGUGUCAUGACCCUAGUGCCUUUCUCUUAUUGGAU
rnacentral:lncRNA from 1 species